GAUGGACGCUGGCGGCGUGCUUAACACAUGCAAGUCGAACGGUGAAGGCGGAGCUUGCUCUGCUGGAUCAGUGGCGAACGGGUGAGUAACACGUGAGCAAUCUGCCCCUGACUCUGGGAUAAGCGCUGGAAACGGCGUCUAAUACUGGAUACGAGCUGCGAAGGCAUCUUCAGCAGCUGGAAAGAACUUCGGUCAGGGAUGAGCUCGCGGCCUAUCAGCUUGUUGGUGAGGUAACGGCUCACCAAGGCGUCGACGGGUAGCCGGCCUGAGAGGGUGACCGGCCACACUGGGACUGAGACACGGCCCAGACUCCUACGGGAGGCAGCAGUGGGGAAUAUUGCACAAUGGGCGAAAGCCUGAUGCAGCAACGCCGCGUGAGGGACGACGGCCUUCGGGUUGUAAACCUCUUUUAGCAGGGAAGAAGCGAAAAUGACGGUACCUGCAGAAAAAGCGCCGGCUAACUACGUG
rnacentral:rRNA from 1 species